UGGUUCUGGCAUCGAUGAAGAACGCAGCGAAAUGCGAUAAGUAAUGCGAAUUGCAGAAUUCAGUGAGUCAUCGAAUCUUUGAACGCACAUUGCGCCCGCCAGCAUCCUGGCGGGCAUGCCUGUUCGAGCGUCAUUGCAACCCUCAGGCCCUGCCUGGCGUUGGGGCCCUGCACGUGCAGCCCCCGAAACACAGCGGCGGUCCCGUCUCGGCACCGAGCGUAGUACUCUCUCGCUACGGCGUCCGUGCGGCGACCUGCCGGAAAACCCCGUAUCACGUGGUUGACCUCGGAUCAGGUAGGAAUACCCGCUGA
rnacentral:misc_RNA from 1 species